UGUGGGAGGGGGCUUGCCCCCGAUAACAGUGUGUCAGCUACAGAUGCUCUGGCUGAUCCACCGCUAUCGGGGGCAAGCCCCCUCCCACA
rnacentral:misc_RNA from 1 species